CCAAAGUCAAACUAUUAUGUUCAGAAGGUUGUAGAAGCCCAUCGCGCUACAGAUUUGUGGACUGUGCAAUGCAUUGUGAAGGGGUGGAAGAAUUGACAGGAAAGGGCGAUUUUGCGGUUAUUUAUGCGGACCGUAACCGCAGAAUCAUCGCUGAUGGAGGCAUGAGCAACUAAAUUCUAAGGGUUAUUUCAUGGUGAGUUAUGCAGACCGCAUAGCCAUCCAUGGACCGCAUAUUUGUCCUAGAAUCGGUAGGAGAAUUUUUUUAAUGAGACUUUGCGGUCCAGUG
rnacentral:lncRNA from 1 species